rnacentral:rRNA from 1 species
CAUGCAGUCGAGCGGAUGAAGGGAGCUUGCUCCUGGAUUCAGCGGCGGACGGGUGAGUAAUGCCUAGGAAUCUGCCUGGUAGUGGGGGAUAACGUCCGGAAACGGGCGCUAAUACCGCAUACGUCCUGAGGGAGAAAGUGGGGGAUCUUCGGACCUCACGCUAUCAGAUGAGCCUAGGUCGGAUUAGCUAGUUGGUGGGGUAAAGGCCUACCAAGGCGACGAUCCGUAACUGGUCUGAGAGGAUGAUCAGUCACACUGGAACUGAGACACGGUCCAGACUCCUACGGGAGGCAGCAGUGGGGAAUAUUGGACAAUGGGCGAAAGCCUGAUCCAGCCAUGCCGCGUGUGUGAAGAAGGUCUUCGGAUUGUAAAGCACUUUAAGUUGGGAGGAAGGGCAGUAAGCUAAUACCUUGCUGUUUUGACGUUACCAACAGAAUAAGCACCGGCUAACUUCGUGCCAGCAGCCGCGGUAAUACGAAGGGUGCAAGCGUUAAUCGGAAUUACUGGGCGUAAAGCGCGCGUAGGUGGUUCAGCAAGUUGGAUGUGAAAUCCCCGGGCUCAACCUGGGAACUGCAUCCAAAACUACUGAGCUAGAGUACGGUAGAGGGUGGUGGAAUUUCCUGUGUAGCGGUGAAAUGCGUAGAUAUAGGAAGGAACACCAGUGGCGAAGGCGACCACCUGGACUGAUACUGACACUGAGGUGCGAAAGCGUGGGGAGCAAACAGGAUUAGAUACCCUGGUAGUCCACGCCGUAAACGAUGUCGACUAGCCGUUGGGAUCCUUGAGAUCUUAGUGGCGCAGCUAACGCGAUAAGUCGACCGCCUGGGAGUACGGCCGCAGGUUAAACUCAAUGAAUUGACGGGGGCCCGCACAGCGGUGAGCAUGUGGUUUAAUUCGAAGCACGCGAGAACUUACCUGGCCUUGACAUGCUGAGACUUCAGAGAUGGAUGUGCUUCGGACUCAGACCAGUGCUGCAUGC